AUGAGAGAGUAAAGGAAAUAAGCCUGAGACAGGUAUAGCAUUUCUACAAGUUAAAGCUUAAAUAACUUAAUUUCCCGUAGACUUUCAUAGUAUUCUUGCAAGGUAUGCUAUGGAUUUCACAGUAUCAGUUGAUGAUCAUUGUGACCUUUUCGCUAUUGGAGAAAUCAUUUUGAACAUGUCGGAAACUUUCAUAACAAUCACAUCAGUCUAUUUCCAUUGUGCCCGUGUAAGAUCCAUGUUAGAUCAAAUGUAAAAUUCCUGCUCAUAUAGAAUCAGAUAUACCUAGCAACUAAAUUUGAUAGGAACAACGACAUAGAAAAAAAA